AUUGAACGCUGGCGGCAUGCUUUACACAUGCAAGUCGAACGGUAACAGGCCUUCGGGUGCUGACGAGUGGCGAACGGGUGAGUAAUGCAUCGGAACGUACCCAGAGGUGGGGGAUAACGCAGCGAAAGCUGUGCUAAUACCGCAUGUGAUCUGAGGAUGAAAGCGGGGGACCGAGCAGCAAUGUUUGGCCUCGCGCCUUUGGAGCGGCCGAUGUCGGAUUAGCUAGUUGGUGGGGUAAAGGCCUACCAAGGCGACGAUCCGUAGCUGGUCUGAGAGGACGACCAGCCAAACUGGGAAUGAGACACGGCCCAGACUCCUACGGGAGGCAGCAGUGGGGAAUUUUGGACAAUGGGCGCAAGCCUGAUCCAGCAAUGCCGCGUGCGGGAAGAAGGCCUUCGGGUUGUAAACCGCUUUUGGCAGGAACGAAACGGUGUCCGCUAAUACCGGGCGCUAAUGACGGUACCUGCAGAAUAAGCACCGGCUAACUACGUG
rnacentral:rRNA from 1 species